rnacentral:misc_RNA from 1 species
CUAUGCGUGCGCGACGUAAGAAAAGGUGCUGGCAUUGCCUUGUAUGCACGGGGAUGUGUAUGCGUGCGUGUGUUUCGCCACUGUACAGUCCGCUGUAAGUACAAUCAUCUGCUUGAGUCCCACCGAACUCUCCCUCAGUGCAGAUCGAAAGCAAAGCAAGUUCUGUGAAGAGUGCGGUCCCCUCUGUUUCGUGCGUGUCGGUAACCAAAGAAAAGCGAAAGGGUGCGCCGCUCGCCUUUUGGAAGCGGCGCCAACGGAAAGACGGGCAGGAAAAGAGGUGGUGAGGUCCGCGUGCGCAAAACGGGCAGCAAGAAGCGCGGAAACGUUUUUUUUUGUGUGUGGGGUAAAGGCAAUUGUGUGUCGAGGGCGUAAAGUCAGCCGCGGCGACGUCGGGGGGUGCGUGGACCGCGACCCUUUUGCUCGCCUCACAUCGCCACUGCAUUCUUUCCGUCUCUGUGUCGUUCCAUUUGUUCCCCCCCCCCUCCCUCCCUACCCCCCCCCAACCGUGUUUGCCCUAUCCUUGUCUGGAAGGCCGCAGCACUCUCGUGCGCACAUCACGGGCAACGAGAAACGACAACAACCCACACAACCAUCAAAACAAGAAAAAAAAAAACAAUUUUUUCUUUGUUGCUGCGAUUCCACCUACAAAACGCAUGGGAUGUUUCGCGCUGCCAGAGCGAGGCACACGGUGGCGCUGUCUCUGCCGCAUCGCCGCGCGGCUCUCUCGAACUCACGCCGCGCAUGUGGCCUGCAUCGCACGGCGGGCUCUCGGAAAUCCGCGAAAAGGGAGGAGGCGCCCAACGUGGCCAACGCUGUGGAGGAUGCGGCGUCGCAGUCGCUGGCCGUCUACCACCCCCAGGCAGAUCUUGGGGCUGUCACCGCCAAGGUGGAUUUAUCCUCGCUCUUCUACGACACGUCUGUGACCGACAUCGCGCUUUCCAAGCGAAAGCUCACCAAAGACGAUGACGAUGGAAGUUUUGUAUUUGGUCAGGUGCCACGUGGGAAUAUGAAAAAAGAGCAGAUCCUCAAGUACGUGGACAUGGAUGAGCUGGCGAAGGCGAGCGAGUUGCUGGAGGUACCGGAUGCCUACACCUACCCGCUGCAUCAGAUGGAAACCAUCUCCGAGGCGAUCGCGCAUACGAUGCAGUCGCGUGUGCUCAUGUUUAAGUACGCCUCCCUGGACGACUUUUACACAAUGAAGCGGCACAUCGGGACGGACGAAGAUGUGAUGCGCGCGACUCUACCCGGCAACUCCAUCUACUUCCAGUUUGUGCACUCAGGCAGCGCCGCAGACGCCGACGGCCCGGCCUCAUCAUCGUCGUUGCCACGUGAGCACGCGGGGCAGCAGGAGGUCAAGGCGGUGCGCGAUGCGGUAGAGAGGAUACUGCGCCGCUACGUGUGUCGAAUACUGGAGCCCUUUCCAAACGAGCUUGCCAUUGACGUGACGCACUACGCCACCUAUCUGCCACUGCUUAACGUGAGCCGUCGCAAUGUAAGUCAGGUGCUGAAGGAUAUUGAGGACUACAUGGCAAAGAGGCCGGUAGCGAAGGAGGGCAUCGCUGGGCCGCCUUCCGAAAGUGAGAUCGAGCCUCUGACCCCCGAUGAGCUCGCGACGGAGAUCGCUCGCAUUAUCCGGCGCGAGGUGCUGACGCAGCGGCCGCCGAGAGACAGCGGAUGCGGUGCACAGGAGCCCGCAACGACGGGCGCACAAGAAGUGCCGAGCUCCACAGUCGCCGCCUCCACGGCGUCGGUCCGCGUCUGCAUUGGUGUGGCCACGAGUCCCGUUUUGGCAAAGAUUGCCUGUGACGCCGAGGUGCUAGCGGUGGUGGCCAAAUUACGUGGCGAGCAGGCCGCAACCCUGACGGCAGACAAGGGUGGCGGCCGAAGCGGCGUCCCACUGGUCUCUAUCCGCUCCUUCCACCGCCACAUCCGCUCCAUGAAGGCGUCGCGCGACUUUAUGGCGAGCUUCCCAGUGAGUCGCGUGCCCGUCUUCACUCCCGCGUUUGUGGAUCUGCUGAAGCACACCUUUGGUAUCGUGACGUGCGGCGAUUUCUACGAAAAGCGUUACCUCCUGUACUACUGCAUGUCGAGAGACACGGCGCGUGCGUGCUACGCCGCUGCCUUUGGCCGAAUGUACUUCGAGGCGGAGGUGAUCGAGUCUCUGGUGGCACCGGAAAACCUCAGGCACUCCAUCGCGCCGCUCGAGUUCAUGGCAAGCAACCGCAUCAGCAUUGUUAAUGAAGAGCGCACCGACUACCAUGUGGCCAUGCGUAGCGUUAUCCUUGGCCACCUUCGCAAGAAACUCCCUAAUAAUGGUUGCAAGAUCACUCAGGUGCCGUUUGGCCGGCUGUCUACUGAGGACGCGAUCCACCGCACUGCGGAGGCAGCGAUGCGCUCGCUGCACCGUCACCUGUACACCAAGGGUCUCACCUACAGCGGCGUCCGGGUAACGCUGCCGCGUUGCAACCUGGAUCCGGUGAUGGAACGAUUGGAAGGCGAGACGACCGAGGAGGCCGCCGUCGCGGCGCUUCACCGAGUUCUACCAAAGCUUCUGUCGCACCGUCACCGUAUCGACGAAGCCCUCGAUGGGGCGAAGUCUGGAAGGUACGUCACCCUGGGCGUCUUUGGCAUCUCGCUAAUACCCAUGGUGCCGCCCAUAAUGAUAAGCGAAGCAGCGAGGUUAGAGAAGCUGUACUUCACUGCCAAGAGGUUCUUCCUGGGUCACCAAAAUCGCAUGAUGAGGCGCAAGGGAAUGCUGACAGAUGAGGGUGCAGAAAAGAAAAGUAGCCCGGGAAGAAGAAAACCGGGCACGGUCGACUCGGUGGUUUAUGUGUAGCCCAGGGUGAGGCGAAGCCGAGCAUGUCGUCUGUGUGCUGUUGCCAAGGUGCACGUCGGCCCCUCCCCCAACCACAACAGCAAAGGACAAACGGACCCAAAGAAGCGCAAUACACGCGCCCCUCUGUCUCUCUCACUAUCCCUCACUUCGCCUUGUGAAGGUACGUGUGCGCGAUAUACAUGAUCGCAGAAAUGGUGGUCCCCCUCUCACCGCCUAUCGUGUUUCAGAACGUGGUUUGGCUCCUUCCUCCUCCCACACACUCCCCCGGUGGGGAAGUGUGGCUCCGCAGCGGCAGAGCGCGGGGAAGAGGCGAUGGGGUUUGCUGGAGGGAUGCAGCCGCUGCGUGAACACUGCGACGCGAAACGUCGUCAUUAAAGCCGAAUAAAAGAUGCACACACACGUAUAUAUAUAUAUAUAUACCGAGGAAGAACUCUCGAGCGGGGGGAGAGAGGGAGCGUGUCAGCGACGCACCCGUCUGUCGUAAUCUUUUGCUGCUUGUCGCCUCGCCUACUACCCACAUUCCCUUCCUCGACUUCUAUCCAUCGGAGGGAGCUUUACCGGGUGUGUUUAAGUUUGCUUCUGCUUUGCUGCUGCCAACUCGGGUGUGGGGUACCUGCGCGAGAACCGCCACCACAAGCCCCCCCCCACUCCUCCCCGCCCCCUCUAGCACGGUUCCUGCGACCAUCCUCGUUCUUGGGCGCUGUGCUGCUUAUGUCGUUGUUAUGGGCCUUGCCGCGAACUCGUCUUCGCCUUCUCUGCCCCUGUCGCUUUUGAAGAGAGAAGGAGAUGGGCAGAGAUCGUUGACGCCGCGCGCGGGGCCGCAAGGUCACCGAGAUGCGCUCAGCCGCUUUUCACAUACCAGUACAUGCAACAGACUGAGAAACGGACGUGAACAAGCACGGCGGCGCGUAAAAUAGAAGCGAAGGGGACAAUUGCGGCGGGGGGACAGCUCACUGCGUAGCCUUCUCAGCGCGUCGCCUCCAGAGAGAGCGGUGGGACGAGAGGCACGGCACGCAAAUCGGGUGCUGGCCUUUUUCCUCUACCCUGCCUGCUUGAAGGGCAACGUCGCUCUGUUCACCACCCCAACCCCUUCUUCAGUUUCAAGCUCUCACUUCUCUCGUGCUACACGUCACUGUCCAUCCCGCAACGGAGAGGUUCAAGGGAGAUGCACUCAAGAAAGAGAGGGGACGCGGUGCACGGAACGGGUAGUGCGGAGGAAGGAUGGAAAGCCACACAUACACACACACACACACACGCAUCCGCGACUACGCAAGCUCUCCGUUCUCUCGUGCGAGCCGUGCAUCCGCUACUUUGUCGGCCCAGUGUCUUUCCAUAUUGUUACACACGCCCAUGUGUCUCUAUGCAGC